UUACUCUAGAGAGUAAACCUUUCUUUCAUUUGACUUGCAGAAGUGGUGGUGGUUUUAUUUUCCAGUAAACUCUUACAGCAAAAUGUUCAUUAAUUAAAAAUAGCUGCCCCAUACAGGAAACAGCUCAUAUAGCAGCUCCUGACACCGUUCUAAAAACAGACUUGAGCUGUUCUGAAUGCUAAAGAGGAGUGAACACUGAAGACCAUGUGAGCAAACUCCGCAGGGCCUUUCCUCGGAUUUGCCUGUGCUCCGGAGUGCCUUACUGAGCACCAAGAGAUGUCCGCUAAUGCUGAGGUUCCCAUCCCUGGCCAGUCCUCUCUGCUGGCUUAUGUAGCUGCUCGGUGCUUGCUACUGGGAGUGGAAACUUUCAAGUUUUUGUCACUCUUAGAGACUUGGACUCCAAAAUAGACUCUGUGAAAAGUCUCCUGAGACCUAGAAGAUUUUUAUUAACUGUCUCCUCAAGAUUCUUCUAAUUUCUGCCCUCCACUGGGACCCAAG